UAUAGUCAUUUAUAUUGAUGUCAUUCUUCAGCCAGGGCCUCUAUUUGUUUUUACAGGUUGCACUUUAGUGUAGGACGUCUAGCUGCAGAUGCAGAUACAGCUAACAUUGGUCUACCGGAGCCUGUGAUCAGUAUGUGAGUAGAGAAAUAGGUAAAAAGGAUAAAAAGAGCAGAUUUAUGCCUUUUCAUUAAUUUCUAUUUGCAGGUUUACCUGUUCUGCCAAACGCCUGGCCACUGAGGUCUACCGUCCUUGACAGGUUACUUGGGAUCCCGCUUCUUUUAGUAGCUAAACAUGGAUGGUCAAAGUCUCUAUGGGGGUAGUAUUCUGCAGCCCGGUCAUUUUUGUUUUUGCAUGUUUUUCAUUUUUACAUUUUUGCAUUUUCAUUGAUUUAUUUUUACAGGUCAUGUUCCCUUCACUGGAAAACAUCUGACCACUAUUACUUCAGCCUUGGCAGAUUACUUGGGAGCCUGUUUCCUUUGGAAGGAAUCCUUUUCACUAUGGUAGUAAAAUUCUUCAGCCAGGCAUCUUUGCUUUGCAGGUUGGCCCCCAGUGUAGAAAAAGCCUAGCAGCAAAUGUAGGUAACCUUAGACUGCUAGAGCUUGUGAUUGGUAUGUGAGCAGAGGAGUAGAUGUGCAUAGAAAAGAGAUUUUUCACUACAUAAUCUUUCUUUUUACAGGUUUUCCAUUUUGGCAAACAACUGCUUGCAGUGAUACAUCAGCCUUGGCUGAUAUCAGUGGAUGGAAUAAUUAGUUUUGGUGUUGUCAUUCUUCAGCAAGGGGAUCUUUGUUUUUAUAGGUUGGGCUUUUGGAAGUCUACAAGCAGAUGCAGGUAACAUUGUUAUGUAAUUAGAGAACUAGAUGUAGGACUGAUUCUUUAGCCUUUUCUUUACAUCUUUGUUUUGCAGGUUGGUUCCCAGUGUACAAAACGUCUAGCAGCACAUGCAUGUAAUCUUAGACUACUGGAGCUGUAACUAAAUAGGAGUAAAUGAGAUUUCGUUAUCAAUGUGUCAUUACAGGUUAUCUUCGGAAAACUUCUGGCAUCUGUGAUACUUCAGCUUUGGCAGGUUACUUGGGAUCCUACUUCUUUUGGUGGGUAUGAGUGGAUUUACAAAAUCACUUCUGUGUUAUUUUACAUCAGGGCAUCUUUGUUUUUUGCAGGUUGGGCUUUGGUGUAGGAAAUCUAGCAGCAGAUGAUGGUAACCUUGAACUGCUGGAGCCUGGGAUAUGUGAACAGAGGAACGGAUGUGCAUGAAUUAAGACAGAUUCUUCAGCCUUUUCGUGUUUUGGAAAAUAUUGCUGUGAUACUUAAGCCUUGACCUCUUUCCUGGGAUCCUAUUUCAUUUGGUAAUUGAUGUAGAAAUGUAUUUUUGUGUUGUCAUUCUUCAUCUUCAAUGUUUUUGCAUGUCUUCCUUUUCGGCAAUCUGCCCACUGUGUGGUACUUCAGCCUUGGAAUUUUACUUGGGGUCCUGUUUCCUUUGGUAGGUAUCGGGGUGUGACCAAUUUACUGUUAUUGUUUUAUUCUUUAGCCCAUGCAUCUUUCUUUCCAGGUUGGCCCCCAUUGUAGAAAAGGUCUAGUAGCAGAUGCAGGUCAUAUUGGACUGUUGGAGACUGUGAUUGGCAUGUGAGUAAAGGAAUAGAUGUACAUGAAUUAAGAGAUUCUGCAGCCUUUUCAUUUAUCUAUUUACAGGUUUUUGCAAUUAGGCAAAUCUCACUUUGAUCCUUCAGACUUGGCAUCUUACAUGAGAUAAUACAUCCUUUGGUAGGUAUGAGUGGAUGGAAUAAUUUAUUUUGGUGUUAUUCUUCAGCAAAGGGGGACUUCAGGAAGUCUAGCAGCACAGAUGCAGGUAACAUUGUUCUGCUGUGAUUGUUAUGUAAGUAGAGGAAUAAGGGGGUGUGUGUGUGUUUCUUCAGCCAUUUUCACUGAUUUUAUUUAAUUUUUUCCAGGUUUUCCUGUGCCGGCAAACAUCUGGCCACUGCUACUUCAGUUUCAGCAUUUUACUUGGAACUCUGUUCUACUCAUACAUACCAAAAGAAACGUUGCAGUAUUCUUUUCUUAAGGGCUGGUAUUUUUGUUUUUACAGAUUUUCCCCAUCUGCAAAUCUGCUGUGGUACUUCUGCCUUGGCACGUUUUAUGGGGGUGGUGUUUUUCUUCAACCCAGUCAUCUGUUUUUCAAAGGUGUGGGUUUCUUUUUUUUUUUUACCACCUGCCGUGGUACUUAAGCCUUGCAUCUUACUUGGGAUGCUUUUUUUUUUUUUUUUUUGUAGGUACAGUAUAUGUGAACGGACAAUGUCACUAUACUGGUAUUGUGGUUUAGCUCUUUUUAUAUGUAUUGGUUUUCCUGAUUUAGCAAUGUCACUGUGGCUUCAGCCUUGGAAUGGUACUUGGAUUCCACUUUCCUUUGGUAGGUAUCAGGGGGUGACCAAUUCAUUACGGUGGUAUUUUAUUCUUCAGCCCAUGCAUCUUUCGGUUUUACAGGUAUUCAUGGUUUUGUCACUUCACCUUUGCCUUAGGAUCAGUGGUAGGUAUCGGUGGAUGACCAAUUUACUAUGGCGGUAAUCUUCAAUUAUGGCAUCUUUCUUUUACAGGUUUUCCUGGUUUGGCAAAUGUGGUUGCCCUGUUUAAUUUGGUAGGUAUCGGUGGAGGGCCCAGUUCACUAUGGUGUCUUUCAGCCCAGGCAUCUUUCUUUUGUAGGUUGAGUGUAAAGUCUAGCAGCAGAUGAAAGUAACCUUGGACUGCUGGAGCCUGUGAUUGGUAUGUAAGUAGCGGAGUAGAUGUGCAUGAAUUUAGAUUCUUCAGCCAUUUUAUGUAUCUAAUUUUACAGGCUUUUGCAGUUUGGCAAAUAUUGCUGUGAUACAUCAGCCUUUGCAUCAUACAUGGGGUCCCAUUUCCAGUGAUAGGUAGGAGUAGAUUGAGGAAUUUAUCUUGGUGUUCGUUCAUCAGCUAGAGCAUCUUUGUUUUUACAGGUUGUGCCUGAAGUCUAGCAGCAGAUGCAAGUAACCUUGGACAGCCGGAGUUUACAAUUAAUAUGUGAGUGGAGGUAUAUAUGUGCACAGAUAAGAAUCUUCAGACUGGUAUCCAUUUUGUUUUUACAGGCUUUUGGUUUGAAUAACUUCCUGAUCCUGUGGUACCUCAGCCUUGACAUUUUACUUGGGAUCCUAUUUCCUUUGGUAGGCAUGAGUGGAUGGGGUACGGGGGGGGGCACCAACAGGGGCGGCCUCGGGGUGCCCAGAAGAGAAAUCCGGCCCUGUGUCUGGCCAUUGUAGUAUUCCCUUCUUGGCAUUUUACAUGGGAUUCUGUUUUGGUAGGUAUGAGUGGAUGUACAAUGUUAGUAUUUUGUUUUUACAGAUGUUCCUUGUUUAGAAAACAUAUGGCUGCUGUGGUCUAUUUGUGGCAGGUUGUGAUCCCGUAGGUAUCAUUGGAUGGCCUAAUUCACUAUGGUGGUGGUAUCCUUCAUCCAUACCAUCUUUAUUUUGCAGGUUGGUCUUCAGUGUAGCUAAAGUCUAGCUGCACAUGCAUGUAAUCUUGAAAUGCCAGAGCAAAUGACCUGUAUGUAAGUAAAGGAAUAGGUGGAGAUGUGCAUUGAUCAGAUAUUUCCAAUCAUUAUCAAUUUGUUUUUACAGGUUAUCUGUAGUACUUUCACUCACUUUGAUGGUGUCAUUUUGCCUCCAGGGGUUUCUUCAUUAUUUACAGGUUGGGCUUUGAUGUAGGAAGUCCAGCAGCAGAUGGUGGUAGCCUUGGACUGCUAGAGCCUGUAAUUGAUGUUGGUCCCCGGUAUAGAAAAGGUCUAGUAGCAGAUGCAGGUCGGCUUGGACUGCUGGAGCCUGUGACCAGUGUGUGAAUAAUGGCAUUGAUGUGCAUGAAUGAGUGAUUCUUCUGUCCCCUGUUUUACUUACAGGUAAUUCGAUGGGAUAUCUUAGUGUUGUCAUUCUUUAGCUAGGGCAUCUUUAUUUUCAUGUAUGAGUGACAACACCCAAAAUUUCUCCAUCCUUCACCCACUGUGGUACUUCUGCCUUGGAAUUUUACUUAUGGUCCUGUUUCCUUUGGUAGGUAUUGGGGUAUGACAAAGUCACUAUGUUUGUGUUUUUUAUUCUUCAGCCCAUGCAUCUUAUUACAGAUAUUCCUGGUUUGUUGCUCUUGUACUUCAGCUUUGGCAGGUUUUGCAGGUUGGUCCCCAGUGCAGAAAGUCUAGCAACACAUGCAUGUAAACUUGGACUGCUGGAGCUUGUAACUGGUAUGUUAAUAGAAGCAGAUGAGAUUUUGUUAACAAUGUUAUUACAGGUGCUUCAGCUUUGGCAGUUUGCUUGGGAUUUUACUUUUGGGUAGGUAUGAGUGGAUUUACAAAAUAACUUCUGCAUUCAGGGCUUUGAUUUCUGCAGAUUGGGCUUUGGUGUAGGAAGUCGAGCAGCAGACGCAUGUAACUUUGGCCUACUGGAGCUGAAUGAUAUGUGAGUAAAGUGAUCAUCCUUAGCAUCUUACUUGGGAUUCUAUUUGCUGUGAUAGGUAUGAAUAGAUCAAGUAUUUUACUUUGGUUUUGUCACUCUA